AUGGCAUUUUCUUCAAAUUACAUGUUUUUUUCAAAGUAUAUUUCCACUAAAAAGCGACCAACCAUAAAAAAGCCACCAAAAAUCAACCAACCAACCAAUAUAGACAAUAUUUUUAAGUGUGUAAGGAUCAAUAAGUUUCUAUGUGUGUGCUUAGUCGCUCAGUCAUUUCUGACUCUCUGUGACACCAUGUACUGUAGCCCACCAGGCUCCUCUGUCCAUGGGAAUUUUCCAGGCGAGAAUAUGGAGAGCAGGUUGCCAGUUCCUACUCCAGAGGAUCUUCCUGACUCAGAGGUUGAACCUGAGUCCUCCCUCGUUUUGGUCCUUCCUGAAUUCUUCCAGUGUUCCUGGAUUUUAGGGUUUCCAUUUCCUAAAGGAAUUGAUGCUUUUGAGCUGUGGUGCUGGAGAAGACCCUUGAAAGUCCCUUCGACAGAAAGAGAUCAAACCAUUCAAUCCUAAAGGAAAUCAACCCUGAAUCUUCACUGGAAAGACUCAUGCUGAACCUGCCAGUACUUUGGCCACCUGAUGCAAAGAGCCGACUCGUUGGAAAAGACCCUGAUGCUGGGAAAGAUUGAGGGCGGGAGCGGAAGGGGAUGAUAGAGGAUGAGAUGAUUGGAUGGCAUCACUGAUUCAAUGGACAUGAGUUUGAGUAAACUCCGGGAGAUAGCGGAGGACAGGGAAGCCUGGUGUGCUGCAGUCCAUGGGGUUGCAAUGAGUCAGACACGGGUGAGUGACUGAACAACCACAACAAUUUCCCACAACCAAUACUUCUAACAUUUUAGUAAAUUUUAGGAAAAGGCACUUAAAGCAGUCAGGAUGAAAAUUUAAUCUUUAACUUCAUGUCUUUACACCUGUUCAUUUUAUAAUAAUGCUACUUUUGUUAAGCACUUAUGUAGCAAGUAUAAUAUACACAGAAGGUUAUAUAAAACAUAUAUGCAGAGUUUAAAGAAUAAUGACAAAAUGAUACUUGCAUUACCUGAGUUAAGAAAUGAAACAUUGCAGUGACUUGAAAUUCCCUGUGUGUGUUCUUCUUUAAUCAUAUUGUCCAUCCUCCUCCUCAGCAGAUAACCAUUAGUCUGAUUUUUUGGGGGUAAUUUCCCCUUGAUUUGCUUUAUAUGUUUACCACCUGUAUGUAUCGUUAGGUAAUAUAUUGUUUAGAUUUUUGACAGCUGAGUGGCAAGUGCAGUCAUUGUGGCAGGGUCUCAGAAGAUAAACUGAACAGAUCCCCAGGUCAAGUUUGGUUUCAGCAACUGAGAGAACCCAAGUGCUCCUGGAAAGUGAGGGGUCAGGUCAAGAGUGAGUUCUGGGAACCACAGGAUAUGCCACAGUUGGACCAUCUGGUGGAGUUGUAAGUAGUUUAGGUAACAGACGUCUGCAGGAACAUAGUCAGGUGGUGGGCAUCUUCUCAUACUUUCCUACCUGUAUGGCCCCUCUCCUGCUCUCUAGAGCAAUGGUCCCCAACCUUUUUUGGGUCUCAUGACCAGUUUUGUAGGAGGGGUGGGUAUGGUUUCAUGAUGAUUUAAACACAUUACAUUUAUUGUGCACUUUAUUUCUGUUGUUAAUACAGUGUAAUAUGUAAUGAAAUAAUUAUACAACUCAUCAUAAUAAAGGAUCAGUGGGAGCCA
ensembl:lncRNA